rnacentral:rRNA from 1 species
GAUGAACGCUGACAGAAUGCUUAACACAUGCAAGUCUUUGGCGAAGCUGUGCUUGCACAGCCUAGCCAAGGCGGACGGGUGAGUAACGCGUAAGGAACUUGCCCUGCAGUCAGGGAUAACAGACGGAAACGACUGAUAAGACCCGGUAACGUCAGGCGGACUCAUGUCGAGCCUGAUGAAAAGUGAUGCUGCAGGGGAGCCUUGCUUCCUAUUAGCUUGUUGGUGGGGUAACGGCCCACCAAGGCGAUGGUAGGUAGCCGGCCUGAGAGGGUGGACGGCCAGAAGGGGACUGGGAUACGGCGCUGACUCCUACGGGAGGCAGCAGUGGGGAAGAUGGGACAAUGGGGGCAACGCUGAUCCAGCAAUUCUGUGUGCACGAUGAAGGUUUUCGGAUUGUAAGGUGCUGUCAGCAGGGAAGAAAAAAUGACGGUACCUGCAGAAGAAGCGACGGCUAAAUACGUG